GAUGAACGCUGGCGGCGUGCCUAAUACAUGCAAGUCGAGCGAACAGACGAGGAGCUUGCUCCUCUGACGUUAGCGGCGGACGGGUGAGUAACACGUGGAUAACCUACCUAUAAGACUGGGAUAACUUCGGGAAACCGGAGCUAAUACCGGAUAAUAUAUUGAACCGCAUGGUUCAAUAGUGAAAGACGGUUUUGCUGUCUCUUAUAGAUGGAUCCGCGCCGCAUUAGCUAGUUGGUAAGGUAACGGCUUACCAAGGCAACGAUGCGUAGCCGACCUGAGAGGGUGAUCGGCCACACUGGAACUGAGACACGGUCCAGACUCCUACGGGAGGCAGCAGUAGGGAAUCUUCCGCAAUGGGCGAAAGCCUGACGGAGCAACGCCGCGUGAGUGAUGAAGGUCUUCGGAUCGUAAAACUCUGUUAUUGGGGAAGAACAAAUGUGUAAGUAACUAUGCACGUCUUGACGGUACCUAAUCAGAAAGCCACGGCUAACUACGUG
rnacentral:rRNA from 1 species